UUUUUUAUUUUGUUUUUCUUCUCAGCCGAGCAUUUCGAUUUCAAAGAAUGGGAAAAGAAUAUAUUUAUUUGUCAUUUAUAAGAUGUAAGGAAGAUCUAAGGAUAUGUGCAUCAAACGCAAAUAAAUAAAAUGGUUAAAGAGAUGAGUUGCAAGCCUGAUGCGACAGUUGAAUGAUUGGAAAAUGGUUUGCGAGGAAAUAGAGAAGCGCUUUAUCAUAUAAAGGUGUGUUGGCCAAUCCAAAAAAAGAGCCACAUACAAUUAAGGCAGGAAAGCCGGCUUUAAACUACUUUCGGUGGCAGGCCGUAAGCAAAAUGACAAUACUGUGUAAUGUGCCUAUCAUGCGGGUGACAAAGCAGGCGAUUUGCAGUAUUCUGAUGCUGACUUAGCUAAUCAGUCAACAAACUGCAUUAAGCUUAAUACCUUCUGUUAGAAAAGAAUGCCAAAGAGUUGACGAAAUGAUGAAUGAGAAGAAUCAUUGCAAUCAGUGUGACGAACGUGAUUCGGAUUCGUCGUCGUGCAUAUUCUUAAGAUGAAUAUUAAAAAACGGAGAUAUGUCGUAAAGAAAUAGUGAAGGAGACCAAGGGGCUGACUCACACUCAGAGGACCUUUAAAUAUCACUUGAAGAGAAUGUGGAUUUAUACACCUACACGAAUCCUAAGCAUGAAGAUACCAUCAGGUUACAGGUGAAGUUGUGUGUACUCUAACACUUGCAGCAAAUAUUAGGCAAAAGAAAACUUUGCGUGUUUUUAUCAAAAUUCAAACACAUCUUCUUUUAUGUAUUUUAACUUAACCUUUAUUAAACCAAAUGUGUAUCAUUUUGAUUAAUAACUUUUCACGUUUUUCUACUAAAGCAAGUUUACAAUAUCCGCAGAACUUAUGACAUUUCUAGAUCACAAAAACUGAACCGAAUGAUUUUCGUAGACUUAUAUUGGUGUCUGAAUGCUGGAUUCGUAAGAGAGUUCUUCAAAGAGCGAAAUGAUUGGUAGUUGGACGAAUUUCAGUUUAUACGGUUGUGCAUGGAAUCUUAGCUAAACUCUCAAUUUUUGUCAGGCCAACGAAGAUGUGUGUGAACGGGCAUUAUCUUCAAAGAUGCGAAGUGUUUAUUUCAUUCCAUUGUUUAAUUGUUGACGCUUCACAUCACUGCGCCCUUAACUGGCAUUUAUUUUCUGACAAAAGACAGUUUCAUCGUGCCCGACUUGCUUCCAAUCCAACGUGCCGGCAGCAACUAGCUUUUCGAUCAUUGAAUUAAAACUUGUUUUUCCACCAGUCACAAAGUUAUUCUGGAAGUUUACACCAUCAAUUAACUAUGACAGUAGCGAUAGCCUAGCGGAAGUUUCGAUGCAGUUUUUCCUCUUCGAGUAAAGCAGUCCCACUCGGUGAAUGGAUUAGAGGGAAGAGUGUAGAUGCGGACUAUAGAUAGGGAAUUUUAGAUGGAGAAAAGGGUAAGGGUGCUUUAAUGGAAAUUCCUAUGUAAGGAAGGAGCUCGAGGGUGGGUACCGGAAAUUUGGUUGAUAACGGGCACCUGGCUGUUGCUGUUUAAUUUGUAAAAGUACUAUAAAUUCUAUUAAAGGGGCCAUUGUAGACCAUAAAUUGCACUUAACUACACGCGUUGCUUUGGCUGAUUCCUGAUGCAUGAAUAGACAAACAUUGUUUGAAUUUACUAUGAAUGUAAUCGACUACGCAAAAAAAGUGUGAUGCGUAGUAGUGUGUUAAAGUGUCGUACGUUAAUUUCUCUUGUUCUCUAAAUACAUAAAUAUAAAUUUAAGAUAUUUCAAAAGACUCGAUAUUACAGUCAUUCAGUUAUUCAUUGCUUGCCCAUAUUAUUAUCUCGAUAUAAUAAUAAAUAAAUUUUUGAACAUCUGUUUAUAAUAGCACUUUUCAAUAGUCUUUCGGGACGGCCUACCAUAUUUCAUUCCAAUAUCACAAGGGUAUUGCGCUCUGUAGGUUGAAUACAAAAAACAGGUAAGACAGACGGACAGACAAGCUUAAAUCGAUUCAGAAGUGAUUCGGACGCGAUCAGUGUAUCAAAAGGUGACGUUAUCUUAAUUCCUUCUGUGUGUUGCACACAUCCCUUUUCUCCAACAAGCGGGGUAUGGUGUACUUAUUAUAUUAAACAUUAUUUUUUUUUUAAGUAAACCUUUAUUUAGAUGAACUAAAAGUUGGAAAAUAAAUUUGUCCCUAUCACUCUCUAUUUUGAUGUGCCCCAAACUUCAAUCUGUACUUACCUAAAAGUUACUUGGGUAAAUUGAUUUUACAUCGCAUAAAAAACAGCUUACUCUAAAAAAAGAUAUACAAAAUUUUUUUUACUUGAGUCAUUUCUUACUUUUUCGUCCGGAGUGGCCGAAUAGGCAAAGGAUCUUGAGUAGCAACUCAAUGAGUCUCUUCGUUUUUAGUGUUUUUAGUCUUGCACUUAAUUUCUCUGGCCAGUCCGUCAUAUUUCAUUUAGAAUGGCAGUAUAAAGAUUGUUUUCUUAUGCUCUUCAUAUCGAAGGGAAAUUACUAUGAAGAGGGCAGUCCUUCAUUUUAUUGCGGCAGGCAUCUUUUUUCUACCAUAUUACAUUGUCAUUGUAACUGAAAAUGUGCUCGAAGUAUCGAUUGGAUGGAUAUUUCAAGGCUGAGAGGGAUGCGAGUUAAAUAAAAGUUUAUGAAAAACUUCAUUUCUGUUUAUGAACAAUUUUUGUGAUAUUAUUUCCGCUUAUAUAUGCAUAUAUAGCUGGUGUAACGAUUAUCUUUCUCUGACACAUAAUAUGUCUGUUACAUGAUAAGCACUGACGAGUGAUUAUAUGUUAUGUACUGUAAAUCAGAAACAUGCUACGG